CCAUUAGGAGAUGAAGAGUUUAACUCUUAUAUCCUCACCGGUCUUGGUCCUGACUACAACCCCCUCGUGACGUCCAUCGUGACGUGCGUCGAGCCGAUCUCCUUCACUGAACUUCAAGCUCAAAUCCUGAGCUUUGAGC